AGAAGACGCUGUGCUCUGCGCGCGCACUCAAACAUGGCCGGUGUUACAACAAUCAGCUGACCAGAUUUUGGCUUUACUCAUCCCUCACCAAGUCCUCUGUAUCGGCUCAGCUGCUGGUAGAUCUGCUUCAUCCUUUCGAUGUUGAGCCGGCUGGCCUCUGCGUGGUGCACCAUGGGUUUUGGAUAAUGGAUUCCUAUGAUACACUUGGCUGCCGCCUGCACAGAUUCGGGGGCGUUCCAGGGGUCGUAGAUGAACUUGGCGGGGAAACCUCUAAGGACAGCCAGCCGCUGCUCCAGGUCCACCUGAACCGACAAGGCUGCAUUCACAUAAGCAGAGCACCACUGAACAUUUCACAAAGGCUGGAUGAGGGGCUUUGCCCAGCGCCUGGACAAAGGACCGGCUCGCGUGGCACCGCGCAGUGUCUGCUCAACAAAUGACUCCUGACGUUUUCCAAGCUUUCUCAAGGCCCUUAUCUGCUGGAAUAGUUUCUUGUUGCUAAGACCUUUAACUGGGACCCGUACAUCAUUCAAGCAUAAAAGCUGAACCUGGAUGAAUCGGUAUCUGUGCAGAGAGAAAACUGCACGGAGAGAGGAGGAAGACAUUCGGCAAACGUCACCGAGGCUCGAACCCCGGACAGCGAGGACUAAGGCCUCUGUACAUGGGUCGCACGCUCUAUCGCUGCACCACGAGCCGCACCCCACAACUCCUCGAGGGACGGGACGCCGUACUUCUCCCCAUGGUCCUCAGAGAUGGGGGUGAUGCAGCCGCCCAUCAGCAUGUCUGACAGCGUCUCAACGGGCAUCUCAGAAACAAAGACGGUCGAUCCUGAGAGAGAGGAGGAACAUAUGGGUUGUGAGGGAGAGAGUAAGGAGCAGAAAGAAGGACAACCAGUGGAUCAUCCAUCAUGUACACACCAUCAGACAUCAGCAGGUGCAAGGAUGA